rnacentral:misc_RNA from 1 species
CCUGAAGAUACCUUCCGGCGCAGUGUCCACACAGAUUGUCUGAUAGAAGUAACGAGCAAAGUCACACCAGAGUCCCCAUCGUCUAGAGGCCCAGGACACUGCCCUUUCACGGCUGUAACAGGGGUUCGAAUCCCCUUGGGGACGCCAUACCGGUAACGAAGUGAAAGACGUUAUCACCCGUAUCUCAAAACUGAUUCCGCGAAAGCGAGUCACGUUUGAGAUAUUUGCUCUUUAACAAUCCGGAACAAGCUGAAAAUUGAAACGACGUGUCGUGUUCAUUCUCCGUAAUCAGAAUGAAGCCACGAUAUGUUCGAGUCUCUCAAAUACUUGCACCCGAAAGGGUCUCUUACUCAGGUUGAGUAAUGAGCGAGCUAAGUGAAGGCAAGGCGUCAGCGCGCAGCAACGCGGAGUGGACUUGAGUCCAUGAGCAUUGCGAGCACUGCAUAACGCCGCCGUCACGACGCGCAGCCAUUACGUGAACCGGAGAGGGACGCUUGUGGGUUGUGA